rnacentral:rRNA from 1 species
AUGAACGCUGGCGGCGUGCCUAAUACAUGCAAGUCGAGCGAACGGACGAGAAGCUUGCUUCUCUGAUGUUAGCGGCGGACGGGUGAGUAACACGUGGAUAACCUACCUAUAAGACUGGGAUAACUUCGGGAAACCGGAGCUAAUACCGGAUAAUAUUUUGAACCGCAUGGUUCAAAAGUGAAAGACGGUCUUGCUGUCACUUAUAGAUGGAUCCGCGCUGCAUUAGCUAGUUGGUAAGGUAACGGCUUACCAAGGCAACGAUGCAUAGCCGACCUGAGAGGGUGAUCGGCCACACUGGAACUGAGACACGGUCCAGACUCCGUCGGGAGGCAGCAGUAGGGAAUCUUCCGCAAUGGGCGAAAGCCUGACGGAGCAACGCCGCGUGAGUGAUGAAGGUCUUCGGAUCGUAAAACUCUGUUAUUAGGGAAGAACAUAUGUGUAAGUAACUGUGCACAUCUUGACGGUACCUAAUCAGAAAGCCACGGCUAACUACGUG